AUGUUACUCAUGCUGGUCUUGAACUCCUGGGCUCAAGUGAUCUGCCUGCCUUUGCUUCCGGAGUUCCUGGGACUCCAGGUACCAUACCUAGCUUCCUUUAUGAACUUUAAUAAAUCAUGUGGGAAGCUAAAGCAGGAGAAUCAUCAAUUUGAGGCUAGCCUGGGUAAAAUCACAAGACCCUUUCUCAAAAAAAAAAAAAAAAAAAAAAAAAAAAAAAAAAAAAAAAAAAAAAAAAAAAAAAGGAUGAAAUUACUACUUAGAAAGAAGCCAGCAGGUAUUUGGAGAAUCUUACAGGAAUAGCCAUAGAGAAAGGUAUAUGUGCAGGCUGAAUUUACAAAAUGUUAUGCUUUUACUUUUCUGUAUGGCGUAUGACUGUGGGGCAUGAAAUUAUUGAUCUCUUUAGGUUUGGGGUAGCCUGAGUUCACUCAAUUUCCUUCUUGGAUAUGCUGCUGAGUAUGUUCUGAGAAUCAAAAGACAGUAACCAGUCUGCUUCUUGCCCAGCCUGAGCUAAGUGCAGAGCUAGCAAUGUGUAUGGUGGGUGUGACUCAGCUCCUACAGUGCUGUUUUAGUCCAGUUUCUUUUCAUAACAGUACAUUUCCACUUUUUAUGUUAUUAAAUCUAAAUCACAUCAGGAUAUGUCCUAUGUGUUAGGAAUAAAAUGUUAAGGAUGACUUUUGGCCUUUUCUAAGAAAAGGUCAUUUAUGUAUGAGGAAAAAAAAACAUGAAUAUUAUUAUUUUUUGUAUCUUUGUUUUUGUAGUUAAUGUUUUGAAUGUAUAAUAGCUUUAAUUUGUGGGCACAUAAUAUUUAUAUAUUUUUUUCUGUCACAACAGAAAAAAUUAGGAAAAAGUUGAAGGACAUGUUAGGG
rnacentral:lncRNA from 1 species